rnacentral:rRNA from 1 species
UACGAAGGGUGCAAGCGUUAAUCGGAAUUACUGGGCGUAAAGGGUGCGUAGGCGGUUGUUUAAGUCUGUCGUGAAAUCCCCGGGCUCAACCUGGGAAUGGCGAUGGAUACUGGGCAGCUAGAGUGUGUCAGAGGAUGGUGGAAUUCCCGGUGUAGCGGUGAAAUGCGUAGAGAUCGGGAGGAACAUCAGUGGCGAAGGCGGCCAUCUGGCGCUGACCUGACGCUGAGGCGCGAAGGCAUGGGGAGCGAACGGG